rnacentral:pre_miRNA from 1 species
UGUGUACUCCCUCCGUUCAAAAAUACUUGACUUCCAUUUGUCCAAAAAUGGAUGUACCUAUAUACUAAGACAUGUCUAGAUACAUAUAUAUUUUGACAAAUAGAAGGCAUGUAUUGUGCAACGGAGGGAGUAGAAU